rnacentral:rRNA from 1 species
GACGAACGCUGGCGGCGUGCUUAACACAUGCAAGUCGAACGGAAAGGCCCUGCUUUUGUGGGGUGCUCGAGUGGCGAACGGGUGAGUAACACGUGAGUAACCUGCCCUUGACUUUGGGAUAACUUCAGGAAACUGGGGCUAAUACCGGAUAGGAGCUCCUGCUGCAUGGUGGGGGUUGGAAAGUUUCGGCGGUUGGGGAUGGACUCGCGGCUUAUCAGCUUGUUGGUGGGGUAGUGGCUUACCAAGGCUUUGACGGGUAGCCGGCCUGAGAGGGUGAACGGCCACAUUGGGACUGAGAUACGGCCCAGACUCCUACGGGAGGCAGAAGUGGGGAAUAUUGCACAAUGGGCGGAAGCCUGAUGCAGCAACUCCGCGUGCGGGAUGACGGCCUUCGGGUUGUAAACCGCUUUCGCCUGUGACGAAGCGUGAGUGACGGUAAUGGGUAAAGAAGCACCGGCUAACUACGUG